CAGUCGCCGCGGUAAUGCGAAGGGUGCAAGCGUUAAUCGGAAUUACUGGGCGUAAAGCGUGCGUAGGCGGUUUGUUAAGUCUGUUGUGAAAUCCCCGGGCUCAACCUGGGAAUGGCAAUGGAUACUGGCAAGCUAGAGUGUGUCAGAGGAUGGUGGAAUUCCCGGUGUAGCGGUGAAAUGCGUAGAGAUCGGGAGGAACAUCAGUGGCGAAGGCGGCCAUCUGGGACAACACUGACGCUGAGGCACGAAAGCGUGGGGAGCAAACAGGAUUAGAUACCCCAGUAGUCCCUGUCUCUUAUAC
rnacentral:rRNA from 1 species